AUUGAACGCUGGCGGCAGGCCUAACACAUGCAAGUCGAGCGGUAACACAGGGAGCUUGCUCCUGGGUGACGAGCGGCGGACGGGUGAGUAAUGUCUGGGAAACUGCCUGAUGGAGGGGGAUAACUACUGGAAACGGUAGCUAAUACCGCAUAACGUCGCAAGACCAAAGAGGGGGACCUUCGGGCCUCUUGCCAUCAGAUGUGCCCAGAUGGGAUUAGCUAGUAGGUGGGGUAACGGCUCACCUAGGCGACGAUCCCUAGCUGGUCUGAGAGGAUGAGCAGCCACACUGGAACUGCGACACGGUCCAGACUCCUACGGGAGGCAUCAGUGGAGAAUAUUGCACAAUGGGCGCAAGCCUGGUGCAGCCAUGCCUCGUGUAUGAAGAAGGCCUUCGGGUUGUAAAGUACUUUCAGAGAGGAGGAAGGCAUUGUGGUUAAUAACCACAGUGAUUGACGUUACUCGCAGAAGAAGCACCGGCUAACUCCGUGCCAGCCGCCGCGGUAA
rnacentral:rRNA from 1 species